GUGUCAGCAGCCGCGGUAAGACGAACCGUGCGAACGUUGUUCGGAUUCACUGGGCUUAAAGGGCGCGUAGGCGGACGGUCAAGUCAGGGGUGAAAUCUUUCAGCUCAACUGGAAAAGUGCCUUUGAUACUGACUGUCUCGAGGGAGGUAGGGGCAUGUGGAACUUCCGGUGGAGCGGUGAAAUGCGUAGAUAUCGGAAGGAACGCCGGUGGCGAAAGCGACGUGCUGGACCUCUUCUGACGCUGAGGCGCGAAAGCUAGGGGAGCGAACGGGAUUAGAUACCCCUGUAGUCC
rnacentral:rRNA from 1 species